UAUAACUUUGCAAAUCAAAGUACAUUUUGGGCAAAACCCUAGCUUUUUUCAAACUGAUCGUUAAGCGGUUCUGAACUAGUACUACAGAGAGCUUUUCAUGGAAGGCUCGCAGCAAACGCGUUAUUCAUUAACCUAUCUGCUACAACUUGCAUCUUAAGAUACCUCGUGUUUCUGAAUUAUUUCUUGUAAGAUUUUCCCUUUAUGACUGGAGUAUUUAGCUAUCUAAUUUUCCAUGAUAUGGAAAAGAAAGAAUUGUGGGUGUUGAUUUAAUCCUCAAUCAUACCUUCUUAGAUCACUCUGGUCAUAUGAUCCAUACAAUAUACCCGAAACCAAUUGUCAAUGCUCUAUAGGUUGUCUCUGGCAUGCCAGUGGUGUUGGAAAUGCAUUGGUAGAGCCUACUAUGGUGUUUGAAAUGUAUUGUUAGAGCCUAUACGACAGUAUAAUUUAUAAACUUAGGUAAAAAAUCUCUUUAUGUUCUUUGAUUUAGUGUUCCAUGGUUUACUUCUGACUUAGCAAUUUACUUGGUGAAUGGAAGUGGAGGUGGUUGUUUUAUACCAACUGUUCAAGCCAACAUGAAACAUCCUAUGAAGAUUGCUCGUUGAGUCAAGAUUCAAGAAUAUUGUAUUUAUACUGCAGUAGUGCUCUUGGCUCCAACUGUGGCUGGUCUGCCUUGCACAGCGCCUCCUGAUUCCUCUGUCCACAUGAAGAGAUGCCCUUGAAGCUCAGUCUUCUGUGAGAUACUUUGAGCUAUGUUUAUCUAUCUUUAAGACAGUUGUGCCCCUGUGAGGGGAUCAAACAAUUAGGUAGUUGUUUGGCAGCCAAGAAUGAAUAUCUAUGGCAGUGAAUACCUAUACAGUACAUCCUAAAUGUCACUAAACUUGGCAUGGACACUACCACAGACAAUACAUGGAUUGAGCAAAUGCAGUGAGCAAUCUUCGACAGCAUCUUGAAGGUUUUCACGCACGGUAAGGACAUAAACCUUGGCUUUGAUUGAGAUUAAUGUAAUGUCACACCACCAUGUACGCAAACUGUUGUGCGAGGAGGUAAAAUAUUAAAGCUGACAUCUCUUACUGCUAUGGCUUUCCCUUUCUGUACAAGUGUAUUCAGCCUUCAAUGUUAUUGCCAAUCAGGCAGGCUUCUCUGCUUAUCCACGGUUUCGAGUAUGUCCUGAGCAGCUGAACCUUUAGAAGGAUAGCGUCCUCUCAGUUUACCCGGCCUUUACGAAUUACUUUCGAACUUAUUGUAAGAUUAUGAUUUUAUUUCGAUUUAUUUAUCAAUUGCUAGUGCUGUUUACACAAUGUACUGGGAAGGGAAGACAGAUUUUAAUGUUUGCUCCCUUUUUGGCACAAUUUGGCUGCAGUUAUCUUCAAUUAUGUGAAUUUCAAGUUCAUUUA